rnacentral:tRNA from 1 species
GCCGGGAUAGCUCAGUUGGUAGAGCAGAGGAUGAAU